rnacentral:rRNA from 1 species
UCGAGAAUCUUCGGCAAUGGGCGCAAGCCCGACCGAGCGACGUCGCGUGGAGGACGAAGGCCUUCGGGUUGUAAACUCCUGUCGGGGGGGAACAAGGGCCGGCGAAGAGCCGGACGUGAGUGAUCCCCGGAGGAAGCACGGGCUAAGUUCGUGCCAGCAGCCGCGGUAAGACGAACCGUGCGAACGUUAUUCGGAUUCACUGGGCUUAAAGGGCGCGUAGACGGGCGACCGCGUCGAUGGCUGAAAGCCCCCGGCUCAACCGGGGAAUGGGCCUCGAUACGGGUCGCCUCGAGUGGAGGAGGGGGACCUGGAACUUCCGGUGGAGCGGUGAAAUGCGUUGAGAUCGGAAGGAACGCCUGCGGCGAAAGCGAGGUCCUGGACUCCCACUGACGUUGAGGCGCGAAAGCCAGGGGAGCGAACGG